rnacentral:tRNA from 1 species
ACUUAGGUAGUUUAUGAAAAACUUUGAUUUGUGGUGUCAAAAAUAUGGGGUUACUCUCGUCUUAGGUC